AGAGGAGCUGGACAAGUACUGGUCGCAGCAGAUUGAGGAGAGCACCACAGUGGUCACCACGCAGUCUGCUGAGAUUGGAGCUGCAGAGAUGAC
rnacentral:pre_miRNA from 1 species